CCCUUUAUGACUGUAAUUUUGUUCAAAACAAUCUUAAAUUAUACAGGGAGCUCUGUCAUCACCACCCAUAAUUUACGUUUUUAGAAUUCUUGACAGGAAAUAUGCACGUUAGGACUCAAUCGCCACUGAGGUGGAUCGUAUAUGAAAUAGAAUUAUUUUUUUAUGAGUGCCAGCUAUUCUCCAAUAAUUUUCUAAAAGGCAAUUAACAUAUGCAACGUUUAGAGCGGAGUAUCUUCGAUCACCUAAACUAGUGCAAAAGCACCUUCACUGUAGAUCUCACAACCCGUCAACUAAACUCUAAGUGUUGUGUUUGAUCGUGGUCACACUUUGGUCAGGUCGCUUUUAAAUGAUUUUCAGAAAAGGGUGUAACAGUGAAUCGGCUGAUGUGAUGUAAUGCGAAGCGUUUGUCAAUAUAAGCAGCAAUCAUACCUUGCUUAAGUAACAGCACAAAAUACUCAGAGAAUACAAUAAACUGUCCAGAAAAAAUAAUACGAAAUGCACACAAUAUUAAAAUGAUAUAAAUGAGCACUGGGGCAGUCGUAUCGAGUCAUUCUAGAAUGUCCAUCUCAACUACAGUGGGUGUCAAAUGAGAAGUCGCUUUAUGAUAGGGCAGUCUGAAUAUUCUUUUUAUCUCCACGUUUUAAGAGCUGAAGAGCAAAUUUUCGUUUUAUUUCGAUUUAAACCUCAACCUCGUUUAAUAAGUAAAAUUAAGUGUACUGAAGCAAUUUAAAUUGUUGGAUGUCUUCAUUCAUCAGCUAAUCCUUGUACAACGGUGGGAUGGGUAAAAUAUUCACCUCCUACUGUUUAGGCAGUUACUCAACUCCUCAUUCUAAUAGCUGGAUAUCCGUUCAGACUGCCCUUUCUUCUAGCUUGUCUUAAUGGAUCGGAAUCCACGAUAGUCUAAUAUAAUCCUCGAGGCAAUUUCAGAGCCAGAAAAGUCCAAGCCCGGAUUUUGCGGAGACUGUUAAAACUACCAUUAUCUACUCUUUAAUCUGAAUUAUGAUAGUUCCACGUAUAUCGUAUGAUAUAUCAGGAAAAGGUUUUGUUAAAAACGAGGAAAGUUUGGUGAUAAUCGAGUAUCCACUUUUUACAGUGUGUGUCCUCUCUGGCAACGCACAUUCCACCAAAAGUAUUACAGACGAUUAAAAAUGCUUCCAAACGUCAAUCGUUCUUUAAAGAAUUGGUGGACUUGUUUAUUAAACAACAUAGAUUUAAAGAAUAUCUCCUUACUUUGAAUUGACGAUAAACCGUUGCAGCUUCCUAAAUGGUAUGUAUCUAAAAUGUCAUGUCAAACUUUGCUGUACCGGAAAGGGUUCAACAAGAAAUGAUAUCAUUAAUUAAUAAUUCAAAAUUAGAAAUAUGUCAAUUUUUUCUCUUCUCAUUUUUAUUUGGUUACCUUAAGUUUCCAAGAUCUAUUUUAUUUUUCACCUACCAUUGACUAGGGAUUCUCUGAUAAGUCUGGUCAUUUCCAAAAUUAUAAAAAAAAAAAAAAAAUCUGUACAAAAUAUCCAUUAAAUAUAUUUAUUCAAAAAUAUUAGUUGCAGAAAUUAUAUUUUAAAAAUAAAUAGCCUUUCUUCAACUGCCAAUGCAUUUACAAAAAAAUUCGAAACCGUUAAAAGGUUGUGUAACAUUUUGACUUUAUAAGGUAAACAUUAUUAUAUAAAGCUAAUUUAGAUCUAAUAGACCUUAUUUUAUAAAACCUGAUGAUUUUAUUGAUAAACAAAAAAGGGGCGAUUUCCUUCAAGAAGGAGAAUCGAAUUGUGAAUAAUGCAAAAUUGACACGGACGACUAAAAAUGUAAAAAGUAGUGAUUAAUCAAAUUCAAAAUUUUAAUUAAAAGAGAGAAUUAGCAACUUUUUCUAGCAUAUUUUCUUUAGUUUCCGAUUGAAAGGAAAUGCAAAGAAUGUUUUCGCUUUUAAUAUAAAAAAUUUCAAAUGUUAGUCAUAGCGGUACAUACUAUUGAAUAAUUAACCCCUUAACUUGUGCGCUCGAGUUAAUUCGAGCUCACAGAUUUUUUUUCAAAAAAUCUGUGCUUUAAGGGGUUGACAAAUAAAAAAAUAGAUUAGGUUUAUACCGUUAUUAAAAUUUUUGUCGCCUGUGGCAUCCAUGAUAAUGGGUUCAACAAAAGUCUGGUGUUGUUGAUAUUUUGGGGAAAAGGGCAUUACUCUUAUUUUUAUAUCCUCAGAAAAUUACUAACAUCCAUUUAAACAAUUACUACAAUGUCUAUCAAUUUAGCUUCGAUUGCAUUCGGAAAAUAAUAGACACUCCAGAUUGUCGCAUAAAACAGUUAAGGGUACUAGGUGCCCGGAUACUAGGGGUGUACUUAUGUUAGAAAUAGUUAAUCCUCUUUAUCUUGUGAUUUUUUUUUUUUUGUUGAGAAAAUUGUUUUAGGUAAGUACACUCUGAAGAAGAGUGCUUUUUCAAAGAUAGUCUGCUCAUUCAUUUUCAUGGAAUGCAUAUUAAUUAACGUUUUAGUUUAACCUUAUUGUCCUAUUGUAUUAUAACUAUUAGUAGCUAUUAUGAAAUUAUUUUCUGCUUUAAUGACAAAUUUACUACUAAAGUACUCAGAUUUAAAAGUAUCAAUCAGGUCUGUUUAUCAUCAUUUAAAGCAAUCAAAAGGUCAGCUGACCACAAUGUGUUACC
rnacentral:lncRNA from 1 species